CCAUGUUGCCCAGGCUGCAGUGCAAUAGCGAGAUCUCAGCUCAAUACAACCUCUGUCUCCUGGUUUCAAGUGAUUCUCCUGCCUCAGCCUCCCAAGUAGCUGGGAUCACACGUGUGCACCACCAUGCCCGACUAAUUUUUGUAUUUUUAGUAGAGAUGGGGUUUCACCAUGU